rnacentral:lncRNA from 1 species
CAUGAACAUGGAGCGACUCCAGGGCAGGUGCGGCAGCAAGUAGGUGGAGAAUCCAGAAUGUAUCCCAGUUCAUUGGCACGUUUGCAAUGAAUAGUUUCUUGAGAUGAUUGAGCUGGUCGGGAAUGGUGGUUAGUUCAAUCCACAUCUGCAUAAAUGAAGUGAUUGUUUAGUACUGUUUUAUGCACCGAAGCAAUUGUUAUGACCAAUAAAAAAGAGAUCGUUUCAGGAAAAGCUACUACUUACCUGACGCCCUCUUAACUGCAGAACAAGGUACUCUAGCUGUGGCGGCUCCCCUAAAAAGAAUUUGCUUAGUCGAUAUGUCCUGUUGCUACCGGAGGAAUCAUCCUCGCCGUCAUCUCCAGUUUGCAAGAAGUUCAAACUCGCAUGCCUAAGUCGAGGCACCACGCC